GACGAACGCUGGCGGCGUGCUUAACACAUGCAAGUCGAACGGAAAGGCCCUGCUUUUGUGGGGUGCUCGAGUGGCGAACGGGUGAGUAACACGUGAGUAACCUGCCCUUGACUUUGGGAUAACUUCAGGAAACUGGGGCUAAUACCGGAUAGGAGCUCCUGCCGCAUGUUGGGGGUUGGAAAGUUUCGGCGGUUGGGGAUGGACUCGCGGCUUAUCAGCUUGUUGGUGGGGUAGUGGCUUACCAAGGCUUUGACGGGUAGCCGGCCUGAGAGGGUGACCGGCCACAUUGGGACUGAGAUACGGCCCAGACUCCUACGGGAGGCAGCAGGGGGGAAUAUUGCACAAUGGGCGGAAGCCUGAUGCAGCAACGCCGCGUGCGGGAUGACGGCCUUCGGGUUGUAAACCGCUUUCGCCUGUGACGAAGCGUGAGUGACGGUAAUGGGUAAAGAAGCACCGGCUAACUACGUG
rnacentral:rRNA from 1 species